CGGCCGCACCACCACUUCCCCGCGGGGCGGUGACUUCUGAGACCCCGCGCGGUUGCCAUCCCCUCCGGCACGAGGGCGCCUCCCGUGGCGGGCACGGGAAAAGAAAGUGGUGAUGGCGGGUGCAAAACGUUAGGCUGCCCCGUGUGAGGAUCGAACUCACGACCUUCAGAUUAUGAGACUGACGCGCUGCCUACUGCGCUAACGAGGCUGCUCCCUCACCCCUCCGCGCCGCGGCCUUUGUGGAGAGAAAAGUCGCCCCCCGUGCCCGUGCGCCCCGCUUCCGGCACCCUAAAUUGUGCCCCAACGGUCCGUGAGUAGGAAGAUGCGUUUUACAACCUCCAAAUACAGAGACAGCAGCCCAAAGGGCGUCUAGAAACCCUUUUGUCCAUCGAAACAACGGGCGUACCAUCGUGUCCGCCUUACGGUAACCAAAAGGCCCGCGCCGCGAGGCUCUGCAGGGACCUUCGGGGGUCCCGACCUCCCUGCGGAAGCCGCCGGUUGGACUUGGAGGGGCGGCGGCCAGCGCGGCCCAAGAGAUCCGGGGAUGCGCGCCCAGUCUGGAAAGGGAGGCCCUGCCACGCGGCGCCGCCCAAACGGCGCCAGUUCCUGCAGCUGCCGGAAGCCGCGCACACCCGCUCCAACUGGGCCCCGCCCAGGCCGCGGAGCGGGGUCGUCUCCCAGAAUACAAACCAACAGACUAUAGACAUCUGAACUCUGUCCUGGAUCACGUGAAGGCACAGCUUUAGAGGUUAAACAUUUGGGAAUCUGGAAACCAGAGAUAAUGUUGAAGUACUCUUCUUUAUUAAUUGUAUGACGGUCAGAGAUGUCCGAAGUAAAGAACUAUGACCAAAAAAAAAAAAAAAAAA